rnacentral:ncRNA from 1 species
GUUUAAGGGAGGUAAACUUAUUGAAAGAUAAGGACACAAAACUGGAAGCCGUAAAGAGAGUAUUGGGGAACUAACUUAACUUUCAGGUGGUUCGGUUGCGAUC